UGGGGAAUAUUGGACAAUGGGCGAAAGCCUGAUCCAGCGAUGCCGCGUGAGUGAAGAAGGCCCUAGGGUUGUAAAGCUCUUUCGGUGGGGAAGAUAAUGACGGUACCCACAAAAGAAGCCCCGGCUAACUCCGUGCCAGCAGCCGCGGUAAUACGGAGGGGGCUAGCGUUACUCGGAAUUACUGGGCGUAAAGCGAGCGUAGGCGGUUAACCAAGUUGGGGGUGAAAGCCCGGGGCUCAACCCCGGAAAUGCCCUCAAAACUAGUUAGCUAGAGGACGGGAGAGGGGAGUGGAACUCCCAGUGUAGAGGUGAAAUUCGUAGAUAUUGGGAAGAACACCAGUGGCGAAGGCGACUCUCUGGACCGUUUCUGACGCUAAGGCUCGAAAGCGUGGGUAGCAAACAGG
rnacentral:rRNA from 1 species